CCCUUAGAUGUUCUGGGCCGCACGCGCGCUACACUGAUGCAUUCAACGAGCCUAUCCUUGACCGACAGGUCCGGGUAAUCUUUGAAUCUGCAUCGUGACGGGGAUAGAUUAUUGCAAUUAUUAAUCUUCAACGAGGAAUGCCUAGUAGGCGCAAGUCAUCAGCUUGCGUCGAUUACGUCCCUGCCCUUUGUACACACCGCCCGUCGCUCCUACCGAUUGAGUGGCCCGGUGAGGCUUUGGGAUCUGAGCGGAAAGAGCGUUUCGCUGUUUCUGCUCGGAAAACUCAGUCGAACCUUAUCAUUUAGAGGAAGGAGAAGUCGUAACA
rnacentral:rRNA from 1 species